UUAAGAUAUUAAGGGCACACGGAGGAUGCCUUGGUAACAAGAGCCGAUGAAAGACGUGAUAAGCUGCGAUAAGCUAUGGGGAGUUGCAAUUGAACAUUGAUCCGUAGAUUUCUGAAUGGGGCAACCUGCUAGUUUGAAGAACUAGCACGAAAGAGGUAAGCGGGUGAACUGAAACAUCUAAGUAACCCGAGGAAAAGAAAGUAAAAACGAUUCCCUAAGUAGCGGCGAGCGAACGGGGAAGAGCCUAAACCAAUAUAGUGUCAAGGAUGUAGCCGUUGCUAUAUUGGGGUUGUGGGAAGAUCGCCUGGAGAACUACAAGGUAUCCGGCAAUUAAUUAUGAGUAAUAGGAAGAGUGUUGGAAAGCACUACCGUAGAGGGUGAUAGUCCCGUACUGGUAAAUCAUAAUUAUUGUGUGAUCUCUCCCGAGUAGCACGGGACACGUGAAAUCUUGUGUGAAUCUGCGAGGACCAUAUCUCGUAAGGCUAAAUACUCUUGUUAACCGAUAGCGUAUAGUACCGUGAGGGAAAGGUGAAAAGAACCCCGGGAGGGGAGUGAAAUAGAACCUGAAACCGUGUGCUUACAAGCGGUCAGAGGUCUUCGGACUGAUGGCGUGCCUUUUGGAGAAUGAUCCUGCGAGUUACGAUCAAUGGCAAGGUUAAGUAUAACGGAGCCGUAGGGAAACCGAGUCUGAAUAGGGCGAUACAGUCGUUGGUUGUAGACGCGAAACCUGGUGAUCUAUGCCUGUCCAGGAUGAAGCUGUGGUAAGACACAGUGGAGGUCCGAACCCACCGUCGUUGAAAAGCCGGGGGAUGAGGUAGGUAUAGGGGUGAAAAGCCAAUCGAACCAGGAGAUAGCUCGUUCUCUCCGAAAUGCAUUUAGGUGCAGCCUUAAUUGUUUAUCUGCGGGGGUAGAGCACUGAAUGGUCUAGCGGGCGUAUUGCUUAGCGAAAUCAAUCAAACUCCGAAUACCGUAGAUUUAGAGAUUAGGAGUGAGACUAUGGGUACUAAGAUCCAUGGUCAAAAGGGAAACAGCCCAGACCACCAACUAAGGUCCCAAAUUAUAGCUAAGUGGGAAAGGAGGUGGAGAUUCUGAAACAACCAGGAUGUUGGCUUAGAAGCAGCCAUUCAUUUAAAGAGUGCGUAAUAGCUCACUGGUCGAGAGUCUCUGCGCCGACAAUGUAACGGGGCUAAGCUAUAAACCGAAGUUGUGGAAUUGUGCGCUUGCGCAUGAUUGGUAGGAGAGCGUUCCGUAGGCCGUUGAAGGAGAACUGAUAAGGAACUCUGGAGGUAUCGGAAGUGAGAAUGCAGGAAUAAGUAGCGAGAAAGGGGGCGAGAAUCCCCCUCGCCGGAAGAACAAGGUUUCCAGGGUAAAGUUUGUCUUCCCUGGGUAAGCCGGGACCUAAGCCGAGGCUAGAUUGCGUAGGCGAAUGGAAAGCAGGUUAAUAUUCCUGCGCCGGUUAUAAUGAGUGAUGGAGGGACGCAGAAGGGUAUGCACGCAUGGCGACGGUUGUCCAUGUGUAAGCAUGUAGUCUGACUUGGUAGGAAAAUCCGCCAGGUUAAAGAUAAGGUGUGACACGGAGUCUUCGGACGAAGGUGCAAAUCCCACGCUGCCGAGAAAAGCUUCUAAACGUUGAAUUAUAACCGCCCGUACCCGAAACCGACACAGGUGUUCAGGAUGAGAAAUCUAAGGCGUACAGGCUAACUCUCGCUAAGGAACUCUGCAAAAUGGCCCCGUAACUUCGGGAGAAGGGGUGCCAUCGACGGUGAUAGUAACAAGCGUACUUGAGCGGUAGAUGGUCGCAGUGAAGAGUCUCAAGCAACUGUUUAGCAAAAACACAGGUCUAUGCUAAGCUGAAAGGCGAUGUAUAUGGGCUGACACCUGCCCAGUGCCGGAAGGUUAAGAGGAGGAUUGAGAGAUCCGAAUUGAAGCCCCGGUGAACGGCGGCCGUAACUAUAACGGUCCUAAGGUAGCGAAAUUCCUUGUCGGGUAAGUUCCGACCUGCACGAAUGGUGUAAUGACUUGAGAGCUGUCUUGGCGGGAGGCCUGGUGAAAUUGUAUUACCGGUGAAGAUACCGGUUACCUGCAGUAGGACGGAAAGACCCCGUGGAGCUUUACUGUAGCUUGGUAUUGGGUCUUGGCAUUACAUGU
rnacentral:rRNA from 1 species